rnacentral:lncRNA from 1 species
CUUCCAUGUUUCUUUCUUUCUCUCUCUCUCUCUCUCUCACACACACACAAAGAAAAACCUCUCGUAAAAAGAAGAAGAAAAAAAAAGAAAGUAAAUGCGUAGAUAUGAAAAGUUUACAAUUUUUCUUAAGCAGAACUUUUGUCGAGACAACCGAAAAUAUGGUACUGGUGAAAAUUUCCUUACUUGACCGUUUCAUCGAUUUUUGGUCUUAAGAGACGCCAAAAAUUAUUGAUUUCACAUUUAUGUCGUCACCCCCUCACUGGCCGAUAAUGAAAUUACUUAAAGGAAAGUACACAAAUAUAAAAAAAAAGAGUAAACUAAAAAAAUU